GAGUAGAGCCAUCACACUCGCCAUAUGUGUGGAAGUAACCCUACUAUAGUAAUAAAAUGAUUGGAGUGGAUCCGUGGCUUCGCUGUGUCGCUGUCGUUGAUAUUUAAGCCGUCACAGCUCCCAACUGUCGCGUCUUGAGAUCGACAGAUCCAUUGAUCUCUGUCAAUCGCUCUCCAUUGUCUCAUUGUUUUUUUUUUGUUGUUGUUUAUCGAUACGUUAUUCUUUGAUUCUUUUUUGUUAUUUCUGAAGGAUUUUUUUUUUUCAUUUAUUGGUUAUUGACGUUGAGUGAAUUUGAUUGAGUUUGAUUUCUUGCGGAAUUUGAGUGGAUUUGGUUGAAUUUUGAUUCUUUCUUGGAAGAGUCAGAUUCAAAUUUGUGUGCAUUUCGGUUUAAUUUGGUUUGUUUUGCUUCAAUUUGGUUUUGUUUUUAUGAAAAACAUUUUGAUUGAUUAUUGGAGUCAGUGUCAGAUUUCUGCAUCUGAGAGAGAGAGUUGGGAUAAUUUAGAAGCUUUUGGAAUGUGAAUUUGGUAUAGAUUUCACUGUGAUCACGAAAUCGCGUGUUCAGAUUCGCAUACCUGAUUUCGGUAGAGAGAGAUGGAGAUCGGAGGAGUAGGGCCAAAGCCUUCAAAACACACGGGAGAUCAGGUUUGUCAAAUCUGUAACGACAAUGUUGGCACAACUGUAGACGGUGAACCCUUCAUUGCUUGCAGCGUUUGUGCAUUUCCUGUUUGCCGGCCCUGUUACGAGUAUGAGAGAAAAGAUGGCAAUCAGUCUUGUCCUCAGUGCAAGACUAAAUACAAGAGGCAUAAAGGGAGUCCUCCGAUUCAUGGGGAGGAUGUGGAAGAUGGUGAUAUGGAUGAUGUAGCUAAAGAUUUUAAGUAUUCUUCACGGGAUCAAGGUGAGAAGCAAAAGAUAGCAGAGCGCUCGCUGAGUUGGCAUAUGAGCCAUGGACAAGGAGAGGAUGUUGUGCCUCCAAACUAUGAUAAAGAGGUUUCUCUUAACCAUAUUCCUUUGCUCACCAAUGGACCCUCGGUUUCAGGGGAGUUGUCAGCUGCAUCUCCUGAGCGUCUAUCAAUGACGUCUCCUGAAGCUGGGCUUGGGGUAAAGCGUGUGUGUCCUCUACCUUAUGCAGCAGCUAAUAUUAGAGUGGGAGAUCCAGGGAGAGAGUUUGGAUCAGCAGGGUUUGGAAAAGUAGCUUGGAAAGAGCGAGUUGAUGGUUGGAAGAUGAAGCAGGAAAAGAAUGGAGCUCCAAUGAGUGUUAGUCAUGCACCUUCUGAAGGCAGGGGUGGUCUUGCACCUUCAGAAGGCAGGGGUGGUGUGGAUAUUGAUGCCAGCACUGAUGUGGUUAUGGAUGACACUUUAUUAAAUGAUGAAGCCCGCCAGCCUCUAUCAAGGAAGGUUUCUAUUCCCUCCUCCAGGAUCAAUCCUUAUAGGAUGGUCAUAGUUCUGCGACUUAUUAUUCUUUGCAUUUUUUUACAUUACCGUAUAACAAAUCCAGUUCCCAAUGCUUUCGCUUUGUGGUUAAUAUCCGUGAUUUGUGAGAUAUGGUUUGCAAUAUCAUGGAUAUUGGAUCAGUUCCCAAAAUGGCUUCCUGUGAACCGUGAGACAUAUCUUGACAGGCUGGCUCUGAGGUAUGACCGAGAAGGAGAGCCAUCUCAGUUGGCUGCUGUUGACAUUUUUGUCAGUACUGUUGAUCCUCUGAAGGAACCCCCACUUGUUACAGCCAAUACUGUCCUUUCUAUUCUUGCAGUUGACUACCCAGUCGACAAAGUUUCUUGCUAUGUCUCAGAUGAUGGAUCUGCUAUGCUGACAUUUGAAGCUCUGUCUGAAACUUCAGAGUUUGCAAGGAAAUGGGUUCCUUUCAGCAAGAAAUAUAACAUCGAGCCACGAGCUCCGGAAUGGUACUUUGCACAGAAGAUUGACUAUUUAAAGGAUAAAGUACAACCAUCGUUUGUGAAAGACCGCAGAGCUAUGAAGAGAGAAUAUGAGGAGUUCAAAAUUCGUGUCAAUGCACUUGUUGCAAAGGCACAGAAGGUUCCCGAUGAAGGAUGGAUAAUGCAAGAUGGUACACCUUGGCCUGGAAAUAACACCAGAGAUCAUCCAGGAAUGAUCCAGGUUUUCUUGGGCCAUAGUGGAGGACUUGACACUGAAGGUAAUGAGCUUCCACGGUUAGUCUACGUCUCUCGUGAGAAGCGGCCUGGAUUUCAGCAUCACAAGAAGGCUGGUGCCAUGAAUGCACUUGUUCGUGUAUCAGCAGUCCUCACCAAUGGGCCCUAUUUGCUGAAUCUUGACUGUGACCAUUAUAUAAACAACAGCAAGGCUUUGCGGGAGGCUAUGUGUUUUCUAAUGGAUCCAAACCUAGGAAAAUCAGUCUGUUAUGUUCAAUUUCCACAGAGAUUUGAUGGGAUUGAUAAGAGUGAUCGAUAUGCCAACCGUAACACUGUUUUCUUUGACAUAAAUCUGAGAGGCUUGGAUGGCAUCCAAGGCCCUGUAUAUGUGGGUACAGGAUGUGUUUUCAACAGACCAGCCUUGUAUGGUUAUGAGCCUCCUGUCAAGCCUAAGCAUAAGAAACCAGGUCUGUUCUCUUCAUGCUUUGGUGGAUCACAAAAGAAGAGUUCCGGAUCAAGUAAGAAGGAUUCCAGUAAGAAGAAAUCAGGCAAGCAGUUGGAUCCCACAGUGCCAAUAUUCAAUCUAGAAGAUAUAGAAGAAGGGCUGGAAGGUGCUGGAUUUGAUGAUGAGAAAUCACUGCUCAUGUCACAAAUGAGCCUAGAGAAAAGGUUUGGUCAAUCUGCUGUAUUUGUUGCUUCAACACUAAUGGAAAAUGGUGGUGUUCCACAGUCUGCUGCUCCUGAAAUCCUCCUCAAAGAAGCUAUUCAUGUUAUUAGCUGUGGAUAUGAGGACAAAACAGACUGGGGAAAUGAAAUAGGGUGGAUCUAUGGUUCUGUUACAGAGGAUAUUCUUACUGGAUUCAAGAUGCAUGCCCGAGGAUGGCGGUCAAUUUAUUGCAUGCCACAGCGUCCAGCCUUCAAAGGUUCUGCCCCCAUUAACCUUUCUGAUCGUCUGAAUCAAGUGCUUCGAUGGGCUUUGGGCUCAGUUGAAAUUCUUCUCAGUCGGCAUUGCCCCAUAUGGUAUGGUUAUGGUGGAAGGCUGAAAUGGCUUGAGAGAUUUGCUUAUGUUAACACCACCAUCUACCCUGUCACAGCCAUUCCACUUCUUGCAUAUUGCACGUUGCCAGCUGUCUGUCUACUCACCGGAAAGUUCAUUAUUCCACAGAUUAGUAACUUCGCCAGCAUCUGGUUUAUAUCCCUCUUUCUUUCCAUCUUUGCCACGGGUAUAUUGGAAAUGAGAUGGAGUGGUGUGGGGAUUGAUGAAUGGUGGAGAAAUGAACAGUUUUGGGUCAUUGGAGGUGUUUCUGCUCACCUUUUUGCUGUUUGCCAAGGCCUGCUCAAAGUCCUUGCUGGCAUCGAUACCAAUUUCACUGUCACAUCCAAGGCAUCUGACGAAGAGGGGGACUUUGCUGAGCUGUAUAUGUUCAAAUGGACAACUCUCCUCAUCCCACCAACCACUCUUCUCAUAAUCAAUUUGGUUGGAGUGGUUGCUGGAAUCUCCUAUGCCAUUAACAGUGGCUACCAGUCUUGGGGUCCUCUCUUUGGCAAGCUAUUUUUUGCUUUCUGGGUGAUUAUUCAUCUCUAUCCCUUCCUUAAAGGUCUAAUGGGACGCCAGAAUCGGACUCCUACAAUCGUUGUUGUGUGGUCAAUUCUCCUUGCUUCUAUCUUUUCCUUGUUAUGGGUCAGGAUUGAUCCUUUUACAACCCGUGUGACUGGCCCAGAUGUUGAACAGUGUGGAAUCAACUGCUAGAGGAAUCUAACUUCGGGAUUAAGUACAAGAAUCUGCAUGGCCGGAAAACAUGGGAAAUUUUCAUUUGGUUGUCUCUUAUUUGCAAAAUCUAGAAGGUUUGGGACACCAAAGGGACCAGCACAGCUGCAAGGUCUUGAAUCAGAUUUAACGAGGCCGUCGAUACAAAUUGUGGUUAAGUUCAGGGGCAAAUCUGUGGAGGACAAAGAGGUAGUGUGUCUUAUUUGAUGAUGAAUUGGGGAUCUUUGGCUGACAAACGAUGCAUUUGCCUAAAUUACAGGAGUAGUCAAUAUCCUAUCACCAGUAGAGUUCCUGACAAGGUCCUUUGUGCCUGCAUGGUCUAUAUUCUUUGGAGAGCCAACCUUUGGAUAAUAUUGUCAUCAUCAAAUCUCAAACAGGCACCACUGCUCAAUGUAAUGGAAAAAAAUGAAGGUAAGGAUGCCAAAAGAAGUGAUCUCAAGUUCUUUAAAUAGAGAUUCAAAGAGGGGAACUUGAAUUCACUUGUUCAGGCAUCAACUUUCAAAAGCUAAAUCAAGGAGAUACAUUGGGUGUGGUGGUUUUUUGAAGUAUAUCUUGUAGUCUGGGUUGUUGCUUUAGGCAAUGCCAUAAUCUCAAAGGGCUGAUCCUAGACACAUCUCAGUGGUGGAGAAGUCACUAUGGAGCCAAUCUAAGCAGUUUGGAUACAAGGGUUUAUUUUGUAGUUUAGUUUCUUUUAUUUUUUCUUUUUCUUAUUUUAGUUCAGAUCUAAAAUUAAAGGUCAUUAUCUUAGAGGCAUCCUGUUAAUUGUUUAGGCUGAUUUGACAUUAGAGAGUUGCUUUAGAGUCUCAGAAAUCAGGGAACUUUUUAAGGCUUUGAUCAGCCUAAUUUGUUUGGUUCUAGGAUCAAAUAAAUCCUAAAAAAAUAAUAAUUGAUUCA